UUUUUGAGUUUCUCUGUAGGCACAGUUACUUGUCAUCACAAGGAUCAGAAUUCAAGUACCAGAGUAGUCCUAACUCCUAAAUCAUCCCAAUUUGUCAAAAGUACAUAAAGCUUUCGCUGAUGGACACAAAUUGUUCAGAAAAAAUCCAGUUACCACACUAAUCAGCCAUAGAUUUCUGACGUGCUUUCAGAAGGAACAUAGAUGCAAUGAUGAAACAUUAUCUCCAGACAUAUGGGUGGCCCUUGAACAGUGAAUUGUCAAAAAUUGAAGCAUUCAAUAAAGAAGAUUUAAA